rfam:Citrus clementina cultivar Clemenules unplaced genomic scaffold scaffold_5, whole genome shotgun sequence.
UCUGAGGGGACUGUUGUCUGGCUCGAUGCAUUAAUAAUAAUUAUAAUUAUAUAAUUAUAAUUAUCAUGAAAAAAGGGUAUCGGACCAGGCUUCAUUCCCUUCAGA